rnacentral:lncRNA from 1 species
CGGGUCGGCGGUGGAGCCGCAAAGAGGGGGUUGCUGCCGCGAUGGCAUUCGUGCGAAAGACAGGUGCGAUUCGGCACAGCGACGGACCGGUGACAAACGCAGCCGGCACGGUGAUGUACGGCUCACAGCAUGCAGCGUUCGUCUGAUAUUAAAUGACAAAUUCUGGACCAUCAAACCACAAUGUAUAUUAUUAAUAUACAAAAAUAAUUUAUUUAAUUUAUUAAUACCAUUU